UACGUAGGGUGCAAGCGUUAAUCGGAAUUACUGGGCGUAAAGCGUGCGCAGGCGGUUUUGUAAGACAGGCGUGAAAUCCCCGAGCUUAACUUGGGAAUGGCGCUUGUGACUGCAAGGCGUAGAGUAUGUCAGAGGGGGGUAGAAUUCCACGUGUAGCAGUGAAAUGCGUAGAGAUGUGGAGGAAUACCGAUGGCGAAGGCAGCCCCCUGGGACGUCACUGACGACGUCAUGGCAACGAAAGCGUGGGGAGCAAACAGG
rnacentral:rRNA from 1 species